rnacentral:rRNA from 1 species
UGGGGAAUUUUCCGCAAUGGGCGAAAGCCUGACGGAGCAACGCCGCGUGAGGGAUGAAGGCCUCUGGGCUGUAAACCUCUUUUAUCAAGGAAGAAGAUCUGACAGUACUUGAUGAAUAAGCCACGGCUAAUUCCGUGCCAGCAGCCGCGGUAAUACGGGAGUGGCAAGCGUUAUCCGGAAUUAUUGGGCGUAAAGCGUCCGCAGGCGGCCCUUCAAGUCUGCUGUUAAAAAGUGGAGCUUAACUCCAUCAUGGCAGUGGAAACUGAGGGGCUUGAGUGUGGUAGGGGCAGAGGGAAUUCCCGGUGUAGCGGUGAAAUGCGUAGAUAUCGGGAAGAACACCAGUGGCGAAGGCGCUCUGCUGGGCCAUCACUGACGCUCAUGGACGAAAGCCAGGGGAGCGAAAGGGAUUAGAUACCCCUGUAGUC